ACGAUGCCAAUGUAGUGCAGCACACAGGAUGUGAUGGCUCCAAGUAACUUCUUGAGUUGAACCACCACCACCAAACAGCAGAUCACAGCCCUGGAGAUUCAGGAAUCAUUUCUUUUGCACGGUAGCACAUGACAUAGCUGGAACUCAAUUAAUGUUUCCACUGAUUUUUCACAGAUCUGUGCCCUUGCAUGCAAUAUCCAGACAGAUCACGUGCAAAGUCACAGCCACCUCACUGAUGGACACAAACUGAAUGUCACCAUCUAUGCUCCCACCAUGCUGUCCUCACCCUUGAUGGUGCUGGUUCCUGAAUCCCAAAAGGCACCUGAGUCCUGCUGAAUAAACAGUGGUCCCUUGCUCUGCUCUGAGGCACCAGCCUGCUCCACCUGCAGCAGGAGCAGCUGAAGCUCACACAGCAUGAGAAAUGAAGUUUACAGUACAUAUUACAGCAGACUUCCAGAUGAGAGGACGAAGACUAUGAGUGAAGAGUGCCCUGGAGAUCUCCUGCAGUUCUUUUCCUGGCUCAGAACUGGAUUGAUCUGAGAAGAGUAAUUAUGAGGCUGACAUGUAUGUUCUCCUUCAUCUUGCUGUUUGGAGCAGUUGGGCUCGUUGUUUUCAUUCACCUGCAGGAUCCAGAAGAAAUAGUUCAUCAGCAGACACCAGGUUAGCAUUCCUGUUUCAGUUUGAAUCACCUUUCAUGGUCAGUAGGUUGUACUUACGUUCUCAACAUGUUUUACAUAUUUCACAGAGGAUACCUCAAAAAACAGGUAUGUCAUUCUUAAUGAAGGCUACCUUGAAAGUAAUUAUCAAUUUCUUAUUUUUUAAAAAAAAAAAAGCAUUUGCUGAUAAAACAGUUCCAAGAACCAAUUAAUUGUUUAUACAGGGCCAACACGCACAGGGUCCAGCUGGGUGGAGUUAAGUUUCUGCUAAAGUUGAGACCUAAACUUUUGCUACCAACUAUAUCACUAUAAAUGUGAAAAUGAGAGAUUUCAUCAGAAGUUCUGUUCCUGGAAAUGCACACCUCUGAAUUUACCUUUACUUUGCAUGUGGUAUUCAGUGUGUCAUGAGAUGCAAAAUAAAAGAUGUAUGAAUGAGUCACAUCAGAAACUUUAAAUACUUUAGAGUGGAUUCACCUAAUUUGCUUAACUUCAAUUAAACCUUUCAUAACUAUUAUUCAUGUGCAUGCCAUUUUCCUGCACUACUAACUUGAAGCUGUGAAGAGCCACAAAGGCCACAGAGAUGGGAGAACUAGAAAAUUAUGGGCUGAAAUAGUAGUUUCCUUUAAAGGGAGGCACAAAAGAAAUAUGAAAAGACACAAGAUCUCUUGAUUUACUUACAUUCCUUUUCUCUUUGACUAUGGCUGUAAUGAAGGCUGCUUUAGAGCCUAGACAAAUGCCAGUGCAGUUAUUCUUGUUCAGGAUAAUGCCACUGUGUUCUGGGGUUUGGUCCCUUUGUUUGCUCUUAUAUGCACUGAAAUUGUCCUUUGACUAAACAAAUGCUCCAUAAAAACUUUAUUCAUUUGACAUCUUCAUUGUACAGUGAACACAACUGUGUCUAUUUAAAAUCAUUGCUAACACAUUUAAAGGAGCUGAACUGUAACACAGAGAACUCUUAAAUAAUUGCAUUAAUUGCUAAUUUCUGUGUCUAGGUUUGUUAAGUGCUUGUUUCCGUGUCACUAAACAGUCUGUACUUUAAUAUGUUGUUUAUUUAGUCCAACUGCACACACACCAAUUUUGAAAGCAGCCACUCAGCUGAAACUAUAGAAGUAAUGAAUCUUCAGUGUUGUGCAAAGCAGGGAAUUAACUAGCUCCUUCAGUGCUUUUGCAAUUUAUUUUUGUAUGCUUAGAUGCAAAAGAGUUUAUAGAUUAAAAACAGAGGUACUGGCCAUAUUUGACUGAAACUGGCCUGUAGUUUAGGCACAGGGGAAAGAUGUAUGGACAGUGAAUGUAGGCAGUACUCUAAUGCAUCUAAGAAUGUGUAACUUUACAUUGAAAAGUUCAUUUUUUGCUCCUGAAAGAGAAGGUUUCCUAGUGUGGUCUCAAAACAAGUUCAAUUUCUUUUCAAUUUUUUCAUUGUUGGUUCCCAUCUCGCCCUGUUCUCUGCCAUAAAUCUUUUGAAUGCUGAUUGUAGUACAGUGGGAAGUGAUUUUGGAGAGCAGUGGAACUGGAGAAGGGGACACCCAAGCAUAUUUAAAUAAAAGCAAGUUUGAACAGAGCUCCUACCCCUGGCAGGGAAACUCUCUGUAAGUACCUAAAACACAAACAUGCCAACGAUGCUGUUACUGCCAAAGGUGUGUGAUCAAUUCCUCAAUUCUCACAUUCAAUUACUAUUUAUGUUAAUAGGAACCAGACUGUACCCUUGAGUAAAAGGUGCUCAGUACAAUUA